rnacentral:tRNA from 1 species
GGGCCGUUAGCUCAGUCGGUAGAGCAGCGGACUUUUAAUCCGCGUGUCGCAGGUUCGAGUCCUGCACGGCUCACCA